AGUGGCGGACGGGUGAGUAACGCGUGAGAAUCUGCCUUGGGGUCGGGGACAACCACUGGAAACGGUGGCUAAUACCGGAUAAGCCGAUUGGUGAAAGAUUUAUUGCCCGAAGAGGAGCUCGCGUCUGAUUAGCUAGUUGGUGAGGUAAGAGCUCACCAAGGCAGCGAUCAGUAGCUGGUCUGAGAGGACGAUCAGCCACACUGGGACUGAGACACGGCCCAGACUCCUACGGGAGGCAGCAGUGGGGAAUUUUCCGCAAUGGGCGAAAGCCUGACGGAGCAAGACCGCGUGAGGGAGGAAGGCUCUUGGGUUGUAAACCUCUUUUCUCAGGGAAGAAGCUCUGACGGUACCUGAGGAAUCAGCCUCGGCUAACUCCGUGCCAGCAGCCGCGGUAAUACGGAGGAGGCAAGCGUUAUCCGGAAUUAUUGGGCGUAAAGCGUCCGCAGGUGGCGAUUCAAGUCUGCUGUCAAAGCAUGGGGCUUAACUCCGUAAAGGCAGUGGAAACUGAAUAGCUAGAGUGCCGUAGGGGUAGAGGGAAUUCCCGGUGUAGCGGUGAAAUGCGUAGAGAUCGGGAAGAACAUCGGUGGCGAAAGCGCUCUACUGGACGGCAACUGACACUCAGGGACGAAAGCUAGGGGAGCGAAUGGGAUUAGAUACCCC
rnacentral:rRNA from 1 species